GAUCUGUGAUUAUGUUACUUUAUAAACUGAGCACAGUAAGAUAUUAACCAAUACAACUGAAACAAAGUUUUCUACUAACAUGCUGUUAGUAGAAGUUCUGUGAAUAUGGCCUCUCUCUCUCUCUCUCUCUCUCUCUCUCUCUCUCUCUCUGUGUAUAUAUUGUGUUAUACUUCACCCACACUCUGUAGCUUCUUUUUGGCAAAUCAGAACUGCCAGCAUCUCCACUCUUGGCCUUUGGGGCAACUGUUAAGUACAGUAUAGGACACUUGGACACAAGCACCCAGCACUGUGCCAGCCGACCUGAUCCCCCGGGCUGCUUCCAGGCGACCAGCGAAGGGCUCCACAUGGCAGACAAAGGAACAUUCACACUGCGGACAGGCUGGGGCAGGCACUGCCUGGAAGAUUUUGAGCAAAUGCAACCUACAGAAAUCCCAAGAAGUGUCAUCAGGGACAGAAGACCAUUCUUUGCCACUAGAUGAGAGCCACACAACUAAGUCACCUCUCCAGCUGAAAAGCCCGUGCCUGCUCCUUCCUCGGGCAAGCCCAGCUUUGGUGCAGGGUCCUCAAAGGCUGACACUUGUGGGAAGGAGCCAGGAAGGCCAUCGAGGUCCUGUGGACAGGCAGGCGCCAGGUUUGUGUGUUCCUGCCUGCGGGUCAGCAUAUCCUAUAAUGUUUUCAGGAAUCAUAUUUUGCUGCUCCUCCUGUCUUGUAGCAUUUCUAAUUAAAGUACCUGCUUGUCUGAACAGGUUUUCUGAGCCUUCGAAAGACACUUUUGUGUUUAUUUUCCUUCAUUUGUAUUUU
rnacentral:lncRNA from 1 species